rnacentral:rRNA from 1 species
AUGAACGCUUGCUACAGGCUUAACACAUGCAAGUCGAGGGGCAGCAUGGUCUUAGCUUGCUAAGGCCGAUGGCGACCGGCGCACGGGUGAGUAACACGUAUCCAACCUGCCGUCUACUCUUGGACAGCCUUCUGAAAGGAAGAUUAAUACAAGAUGGCAUCAUGAGUCCGCAUGUUCACAUGAUUAAAGGUAUUCCGGUAGACGAUGGGGAUGCGUUCCAUUAGAUAGUAGGCGGGGUAACGGCCCACCUAGUCUUCGAUGGAUAGGGGUUCUGAGAGGAAGGUCCCCCACAUUGGAACUGAGACACGGUCCAAACUCCUACGGGAGGCAGCAGUGAGGAAUAUUGGUCAAUGGGCGAGAGCCUGAACCAGCCAAGUAGCGUGAAGGAUGACUGCCCUAUGGGUUGUAAACUUCUUUUAUAAAGGAAUAAAGUCGGGUAUGGAUACCCGUUUGCAUGUACUUUAUGAAUAAGGAUCGGCUAACUCCGUGCCAGCAGCCGCGGUAAUACGGAGGAUCCGAGCGUUAUCCGGAUUUAUUGGGUUUAAAGGGAGCGUAGAUGGAUGUUUAAGUCAGUUGUGAAAGUUUGCGGCUCAACCGUAAAAUUGCAGUUGAUACUGGAUAUCUUGAGUGCAGUUGAGGCAGGCGGAAUUCGUGGUGUAGCGGUGAAAUGCUUAGAUAUCACGAAGAACUCCGAUUGCGAAGGCAGCCUGCUAAAGCUGCAACUGACAUUGAGGCUCGAAAGUGUGGGUAUCAAACAGGAUUAGAUACCCUGGUAGUCCACACGGUAAACGAUGAAUACUCGCUGUUUGCGAUAUACUGCAAGCGGCCAAGCGAAAGCGUUAAGUAUUCCACCUGGGGAGUACGCCGGCAACGGUGAAACUCAAAGGAAUUGACGGGGGCCCGCACAAGCGGAGGAACAUGUGGUUUAAUUCGAUGAUACGCGAGGAACCUUACCCGGGCUUAAAUUGCAGAUGAAUUACGGUGAAAGCCGUAAGCCGCAAGGCAUCUGUGAAGGUGCUGCAUGGUUGUCGUCAGCUCGUGCCGUGAGGUGUCGGCUUAAGUGCCAUAACGAGCGCAACCCUUGUUGUCAGUUACUAACAGGUUCCGCUGAGGACUCUGACAAGACUGCCAUCGUAAGAUGUGAGGAAGGUGGGGAUGACGUCAAAUCAGCACGGCCCUUACGUCCGGGGCUACACACGUGUUACAAUGGGGGGUACAGAGGGCCGCUACCACGCGAGUGGAUGCCAAUCCCCAAAACCUCUCUCAGUUCGGACUGGAGUCUGCAACCCGACUCCAUGAAGCUGGAUUCGUUAGUAAUCGCGCAUCAGCCACGGCGCGGUGAAUACGUUCCCGGGCCUUGUACACACCGCCCGUCAAGCCAUGGGAGCCGGGGGUACCUGAAGUGCGUAACCGCGAGGAGCGCCCUAGGGUAAAACUGGUG